GCACUCGUAGCGCAAUUGGAUAGAGUGUCGGCCUCCGACGCCGAAGGUUGUGGGUUCGAUUCCCGCCGGGUGCACCA
rnacentral:tRNA from 1 species